rnacentral:rRNA from 1 species
UACGUAGGGUGCAAGCGUUAUCCGGAAUUAUUGGGCGUAAAGAGCUCGUAGGCGGUUUGUCGCGUCUGCUGUGAAAACCCGAGGCUCAACCUCGGGCCUGCAGUGGGUACGGGCAGACUAGAGUGCGGUAGGGGAGAUUGGAAUUCCUGGUGUAGCGGUGGAAUGCGCAGAUAUCAGGAGGAACACCGAUGGCGAAGGCAGAUCUCUGGGCCGUAACUGACGCUGAGGAGCGAAAGCGUGGGGAGCGAGCAGG